AAUCAACGCUGGCGGCGUGCCUCAGACAUGCAAGUCGAACGAUUAAAGCUCUCUUCGGAGAGUGCAUAGAGUGGCGCACGGGUGAGUAACACGUAAGUAAUCUACCCUCGAGUGGGGAAUAACAACCGGAAACGGUUGCUAAUACCGCAUAAUGCAGCGGCACCGCAAGGUGACAGUUGUUAAAGAUUUAUCGCUUGAGGAGGAGCUUGCGGCAGAUUAGCAGUUGGUAAGGUAAUGGCUUACCAAGGCUACGAUCUGUAACCGGUCUAAGAGGACGGUCGGUCACACUGACACUGAAUAACGGGUCAGACUCCUACGGGAGGCAGCAGUCGGGAAUUUUGGGCAAUGGGCGAAAGCCUGACCCAGCAACGCCGCGUGAAGGAUGAAGUAUUUCGGUA
rnacentral:rRNA from 1 species